rnacentral:rRNA from 1 species
GUGGGGAAUCUUGCGCAAUGGGCGAAAGCCUGACGCAGCCAUGCCGCGUGAAUGAUGAAGGUCUUAGGAUUGUAAAAUUCUUUCACCGGGGACGAUAAUGACGGUACCCGGAGAAGAAGCUCCGGCUAACUUCGUGCCAGCAGUCGCGGUAAUACGAAGGGGGCUAGCGUUGCUCGGAAUUACUGGGCGUAAAGGGCGCGUAGGCGGACAGCUUAGUCAGAGGUGAAAGCCCAGGGCUCAACCUUGGAAUUGGCUUUGAUACUGGCUGUCUUGAGUUUGGGAGAGGUGAGGGGAACUCCGAGUGUAGAGUUAAAAUUCGUAGAUAUUCGGAAGAACACCAGUGGCGAAGGCGACUCACUGGCCCAAUACUGACGCUGAGGCGCGAAAGCGUGGGGAGCAAACAGGAUUAGAUACCCUGGUAGUCC